rnacentral:lncRNA from 1 species
AGCACUUAGUCCAUUUCUAAGGCUAACUAGGGCAAACAAAUCAAAACUUCCAUAAAUCCCUAAAAACUUCAAUUAUACAUUUCUCCAUAACAACAACGAAAUAGACUAAUUCCUUUUGAGGGAAUACUCAUCUUGAUGAGGGCUACAAGAUGACCCAAAGAUUCCAACCUAUGGUGGCCGGAGGUGGGAUUUCCGGUAAAAAGCUUCCCGGCGUCUUCGGCGAGUUUUCUCUUCUUCCGGCGGGCUAACGGCUCGGGGGCUAGGCCGGGGAGAGAGAGGAGGUGAUGGGGGUCAAAACUAGGGUGGGCUGGCAGCUGGUGGCUGGCCGGACGGUGGCAGACCACGCUGAAAAAAAACCAGCAGAAAAGAGGGCUAGGGAACUCACGGGAGAAAAGAGAGAGAAGGAAGAGGAGAAGAGAGAAAAUGAGGGGGGAGGGGGGGGUCGUUGGGCUGCUCCUCAGCUGGCCCAGCAAUAACCCAACUGAAAAAAAUUACACCCACUACAUUUUUUUACCACAUUUUUACGAUCUCCAAAAAUUACUCUUUUAAAUCAUAACUUUUUCAUGUUAAUUCCGAUUUUAACACAUAGCAUGUCUACGAACUCGUAAUAACGUCCUCUACGACUUUUAUGAAGAAAGUUUUCCCAAAUUCCAAACACAAGAAAAAGUCAACUCUAGGGUCCUUAAGUGAUAAACGGUUACUUAACACGGUAAAAGACCAAAAUAAUACCAAAGUAAAUAACCGUAAAAUAACUUAAGAACCGGGGUGUGACAAUUCUCCCUUCCUUAUAAAAAUUUCGUCAUCGAAAUUUACAUACCUGUCAAUCAAAGAGAUAAGGAUACUGCUGCCUCAUUAACUCCUCCGGUUCCCAAGUGGCUUCCUCUAUUUGAUGACUCCUCCACAAAACUUUAACCAAUGGAAUCGUUUUGUUCCUAAGCACUUGCUCCUUUCGAUCAAGAAUCUGAACCGGUUCCUCUACAUAUGACAAAUCUUUCUUCAAACUUAUCGGCUGCUCUUGCAAGACAUGAGAGGGAUCGGCAAUAUACUUGCGUAGCAUGGAUACAUGGAAAACAUUAUGUAUCCGGGACAGCUCUGAAGGUAGCUCCAAUCGAUAAGC